AAUGGCAAAAUGAUGAUUUCAUAGUUCAACUGAUUGAUGCUGAUGUUUUUACUAAGCAAUGUCUUUCGCUCCUAUCUGAUAACCUUC